rnacentral:rRNA from 1 species
AUUGAACGCUGGCGGCAGGCCUAACACAUGCACGUCGAGCGGAGCGGCGGACGGAUGAGUAAUGCCUCGGAAUCUGCCUGGUAGUGGGGGAUAACGUCCGGCGACGGGCGCUAAUACCGCCUACUAUCACAUGAUCCUAGGUCGGAUUAGCUAGUUGGUGGGGUAAAGGCCUACCAAGGCGACGAUCCGUAACGGGUCUGAGGGGAUGAUGAGUCAGACUGGAACUGAGACACGGUCCAGAGUACGACGGGAGGCAGCAGUGGGGAAUAGUGGACAAUGGGCGAAAGCCUGAUCCAGCCAGGCCGCGGGUGUGAAGAAGGUCUUCGGAUUGUAAAGCACUUUAAGUUGGGAGGCGUUACCAACAGAAUAAGCACCGGCUAACUUCGUGCCAGCAGCCGCGGUAAUAC